UACGUAGGGGGCUAGCGUUGUCCGGAUUUAUUGGGCGUAAAGAGCGUGUAGGCGGCCAGAUAAGUCCGGUGUGAAAGUCACAGGCUCAACCUGUGAAUGCCGCUGGAAACUGUCUGGCUCGAGUCCGGGAGGGGCGAGUGGAAUUCCUGGUGUAGCGGUGAAAUGCGCAGAUAUCAGGAGGAACACCAAUGGCGAAGGCAGCUCGCUGGAACGGUACUGACGCUGAGGCGCGAAAGCGUGGGGAGCGAACAGG
rnacentral:rRNA from 1 species